rnacentral:rRNA from 1 species
GUGGGGAAUUUUGGACAAUGGGCGCAAGCCUGAUCCAGCCAUGCCGCGUGUGUGAAGAAGGCCUUCGGGUUGUAAAGCACUUUCGGCCGGAACGAAAUCGCCUUUGUUAAUAGCGAAGGUGGAUGACGGUACCGGAAGAAGAAGCACCGGCUAACUACGUGCCAGCAGCCGCGGUAAUACGUAGGGUGCGAGCGUUAAUCGGAAUUACUGGGCGUAAAGGGUGCGCAGGCGGCCCCGCAAGUCAGGCGUGAAAUCCCCGGGCUUAACCUGGGAAUGGCGCUUGAAACUACGGGGCUGGAGUAUGGCAGAGGGAGGUGGAAUUCCACGUGUAGCGGUGAAAUGCGUAGAGAUGUGGAGGAACACCGAUGGCGAAGGCAGCCUCCUGGGCCAAUACUGACGCUCAUGCACGAAAGCGUGGGGAGCAAACAGGAUUAGAAACCCUUGUAGUCC